GACGAACGCUGGCGGCGUGCCUAAUACAUGCAAGUCGAACGCAUUUUCUUUCACCGUAGCUUGCUACACCGAAAGAAAAUGAGUGGCGAACGGGUGAGUAACACGUGGGUAACCUGCCCAUCAGCGGGGGAUAACACUUGGAAACAGGUGCUAAUACCGCAUAAUUCCAUUUACCGCAUGGUAAAUGGAUGAAAGGCGCUUUUGCGUCACUGAUGGAUGGACCCGCGGUGCAUUAGCUAGUUGGUGGGGUAACGGCCUACCAAGGCUGCGAUGCAUAGCCGACCUGCGAGGGUGAUCGGCCACACUGGGACUGAGACACGGCCCAGACUCCUACGGGAGGCAGCAGUAGGGAAUCUUCGGCAAUGGACGCAAGUCUGACCGAGCAACGCCGCGUGAGUGAAGAAGGUUUUCGGAUCGUAAAACUCUGUUGUUAGAGAAGAACAAGGAUGAGAGUGGAAAGUUCAUCCCUUGACGGUAUCUAACCAGAAAGCCACGGCUAACUACGUG
rnacentral:rRNA from 1 species